rnacentral:tRNA from 1 species
GGGGACUUAGCUCAGUGGUAGAGCGCUUGCCUAGCAAGCACAAGGCCCUGGGUUCGGUCCCCAGCUCCU